UCCCCUCGACAUUAUUCGGAAAAUGUGUAGUAUUCAUGAGAGUAUGCGCACUACAUAGAAACCAAUGUUACCAGUUAUUACCAUGGGUUACUUUAAGGAGAAAAAAAUUCCUGGAAGAAAAUUACGUAUUUAUUAAUAUAAGGAGGAAAAAUAGAAAUUUUCUGUGAUAGUGUGAUAUGAUUCUCGCAGGAUUAAUUGUAGUAUUGAUUUUAUUUGUAAUAACGAUUACGAGUUUGUUGUGUUUGAAUUAUAGAAUUAUGUUAACAAGCAUGAAAACCUUUUUAACACCUCUUAAUGCUUAUGUUUCUGCGGCUUGUGGCUUACGGAGGAUUGCUUCAAACCAGAAAAUACUUGUUUAUCGCUCAAGAGUGCUACUGCCUGUGCAAGGAGGGGAAUAAGGCCAGCAAUUCUCACAACGGAAAUACCACUUACUACGGCAAUGACAACACUAUGAAUUUUGAUAGCCUGACGACCCAUCACAACAGCGUGGACAGCAUUCAUGGUGGUCAUUGUGACAGCGGGGGUGGUGACAGUGGUGGGGGUGGCUGCGACA